UCUUUUGCCUGCGAGGAUGCAAUCGAGCCGCGCCCGCUGGUUCCUCGCUGCCAUCCAGACCCUGCACCGGAGCAAUCGUCCAUCCCUUUCCCUUGCCUCGUUUGCCGAAGAAGUAGCGCGGGCCGGGCAUUUGGAUUGGAGAACUGAGCCGAAUCGGAUGGGCAUGGCGAGCUCGUGGCGGCGGCAGCAAGUAUGGAAGCCGAAUUGGACGGGCAUGGCGAGGUCC
rnacentral:lncRNA from 1 species